rnacentral:rRNA from 1 species
UACGUAGGGGCGAGCGUUGUCCGGAUUUACUGGGCGUAAAGGGUGAGUAGGCGGUUAUAUAUGUCAGGUGUAAAAGGCUAUGGCUUAACCAUGGUUAGCACUUGAAACUGUAUGACUUGAGUGCAGGAGAGGUAAGUGGAAUUCCUAGUGUAGCGGUGAAAUGCGUAGAUAUACGGAGGAACACCAGUGGCGAAGGCGACGUUCUGGUCUGUUAUUGACGCUGAGGCUCGAAAGCAUGGGUAGCAAACAGGAUUAGAUACCCUGGUA